AUUGAUGCAGCACGUAUAGAGGUAAAUCCUCGGCAAGGUACUUGGGCACGGGCUGCCAAACCAGAAGCCCUGAUUGAGGCAGCACGUAUAGAGGUAAAUCCUUUGCGAUGUGAUUCUGAAACACGUAAUACAGCAAGAUCAACAAAAGCAUACACAUUGUGAGCUAAGCAAUCUUAAAGCCAAAAACAAGGAUAAACAUACAAAAAUGCAGAGGCAAAACUGGCACAAUCAUUAGGCAAGAACACUAUCGUAAGUUAGGGACACUCUUCUACGUUAUAUCUUAUGCACAGGACAAGAAUCAAUUGUACAGGUUAAUACUGAAAUAAUGAAAAAGAGAUGAUAUCUUUAUGGAAAAAUGGGUGUCCUGGACAAUGCUAGAAUAUAAAGGAGAAACUCAUCCAAGAUUUGAGUUUCACCUGGAAGAUCCGCCACUUGGGUUUCCUCAGCCAUUUGGGUUUCAAAUUCAUCUUCCAAUAGAUAAGUAUCAUCAAAGGCCAUAUUCUUGAUGUUUAGGAAAUCAUCAUCUCUGCCACCUUCUAAAGCACAGCCUGCCACGGAAACAAGAAUGUCCGAGCUACUCAGUAAACAAAUGCAACCAAUACACAUAUUCCUAACUGCAAUAACUUAUUUCUAUUCAAUUCUUUUUUUUUCUUGAUUAAAAACUAUUUAGUAAACAAAAUUCACCAUGAAUGUGCAAAUAGGCUACGUCAAAGUAGAGUUUUGUUGCUUGGCUUAAGAACAAAGUUUAUGCCAACGCAACUGCGACAAUCAAUAAACUAAUUCAUUCAAUAAAUUAGAAGCCAAAUAAUCAGAGCUGGUUCCUCACUAAUCAAAAACCCAGCACAUAAACCAUCAACCACUUAAACAAUGAUCUUCAAUGUUCCUUCAACAGUCCCCAUGUCAACUCAUCUACAAAUUUGUUUAACAUAAUAUUAUAUAAGUAAAGCUAUAAAGGCAUCACCGAUCAGAAAAGGGAAGUGUAGGAAGAUCCCGCAAUGACAUAUAAAUGGGAUGGAAUGGAACUCACAUAAUAAAGAAACUGCGAUGAAGGGCGACACGGUGUGAAAAUUGGGGGCAAAAUUGAC
rnacentral:lncRNA from 1 species